GGGGGGGGGGGGGGGGGGGGCUGGGGGGGGGAGGGCGGGGGGGGAGGCGGGGAGGUUGCUGGGGGGGCGGGAGGGGCGGGCGGGUGAGUAAGACGUGGAUGACCUACCUAUCAGACUGGGAGAACGUCGGGAAGGCGGGGCUAGUGACGGUGAUCUAGUGGAAGCGAAGGGUUGAUUGGGAAAUGCCGGUGUGGGUGGCACUUAUGGUGGAACCGCCGCGGCAUUAGCUAGUUGGUAAGGUAUCGGCUUACCAUGGGACCGAUGCGUAGCCGACCUGAGAGGUUGAUCGGCCAACCUGGAACUGAGACACGGUCCAGACUCCUACGGGAGGCAGCAGUAGGGAAUCUUCCGCAAUGGGCGAAAGCCUGACGGAGCAACGCCGCGUGAGUGAUGAAGGUCUUCGGAUCGUAAAACUCUGUUAUUAGGGAAGAACAAAUGUGUAAGUAACUAUGCACGUCUUGACGGUACCUAAUCAGAAAGCCACGGCUAACUACGUG
rnacentral:rRNA from 1 species